AUUGAACGCUGGCGGCAGGCCUAACACAUGCAAGUCGAGCGAGCGGCGGACGGGUGAGUAAUGUAUGGGGAUCUGCCCGAUAGAGGGGGAUAACUACUGGAAACGGUGGCUAAUACCGCAUACUAUCGGAUGAACCCAUAUGGGAUUAGCUAGUAGGUGAGGUAACGGCUCACCUAGGCGACGAUCUCUAGCUGGUCUGAGAGGAUGAUCAGCCAACCUGGGACUGAGACACGGCCCAGAGUCCGACGGGAGGCAGAAGUGGGGAAUAUUGCACAAUGGGCGAAAGCCUGAUGCAGCCAUGCCGCGUGUGUGAAGAAGGCCUUCGGGUUGUAAAGCACUUUCAGCGAGGAGGCGUUACUCGCAGAAGAAGCACCGGCUAACUCCGUGCCAGCAGCCGCGGUAAUUC
rnacentral:rRNA from 1 species